rnacentral:rRNA from 1 species
AAUGAACGCUGGCGGCAGGCCUAACACAUGCAAGUCGAACGGAUCCUUCGGGAUUAGUGGCGGACGGGUGAGUAACGCGUGGGAACAUACCCUUUGGUACGGAAUAGCCUCGGGAAACCGGGAGUAAUACCGUAUGUGGUCGAGAGACGAAAGAUUUAUCGCCAAAGGAUUGGCCCGCGUUGGAUUAGGUAGUUGGUGGGGCAAUGGCCUACCAAGCCGACGAUCCAUAGCUGGUUUGAGAGGAUGAUCAGCCACACUGGGACUGAGACACGGCCCAGACUCCUACGGGAGGCAGCAGUGGGGAAUCUUAGACAAUGGGGGAAGCCCUGAUCUAGCCAUGCCGCGUGAUCGAUGAAGGCCUUAGGGUUGUAAAGAUCUUUCAGGUGGGAAGAUAAUGACUGUACCACCAGAAGAAGCCCCGGCUAACUCCGUGCCAGCAGCCGCGGUAA